UACACAGAACGGACGUGGUGUGGCUAACGGCCCCCGACUUACCCGGCCUUUGAGGGUAAAAACUUGCGGCUGCGCUUUGUUAGAGCCUCGCUGGUUUCUCCGCUCGGGUCCUCCAAAUCCUUGAGCUUGUGGACUUUGGCGUGAGUGGGUCGUGAGGCCGCCCGGAGAUGGCAGCUGGCCGCCCGGGAGGUAGGGGAGCCUGGACUGCCCCGUCCGCUGCUUUUCAGCUGUAGAGGAAUUGGAAGCUUUCCACGGUCACAGCCGCAGUCCAUUCCAUUACUGCCACCUGACAGAAUAAUUAUGCUUUUAGGGAGAAAAUUCUCCAGUACUCUGUGAUGGAAUAAGGAUAUAAUGAACAGAAGAAAGCAUCCAAUGACCGCAAUUCUUUCAAAUGUUUAUAUGCAUCCUAGCAAUACACCCGAGAAGGCAGUGGAGGAUGACCCGAGUGCUUCAGCACCUCCAACCCAUGUGGGAGGGGGGCCCAGGUGGAGUUCCUGCCUCCUGGUUCAGUCUACACCAGUACUGGGCAUUGCAGCCACUUGGAGAUUAAACCAGAGGAUGCCAGAGGAAACUCUUCUGGAUCGAGUGGCUGUGAAUCGGAGGACCUACUGGGAGAACAAGGUCGCCCACCACGCGGAAGCCGAGCCACGGACCGAGCCGCGGGUGCCGCAGAAGCCGCAGGGUCUGCGCGCCAGUGCGGGAAGGGGAGUGCAUAUCACACAGACAACAGCAGGGAGAGUUGGGAUGUCCAGGGCUCCGAGUCCACACAUCAGCGCUGGAAGGGGAGGUGAGCUCAAUAACCCGAGACAUUGGUGGGGAAACGGGGGUCAGAAUCUAGAGGGGGGCCGGAAAGUGCAGCAAACUCACUACCGGAAAGAAGGAAAAAAAAAAAGCUUGGGGGUUUCUCUUUCCCCUAACCUUGCAAAGGUUGCAAGGCUGCAAGGCUCUAAGAAUUCGCAAGAGACAAAGAGCAGGCCCGCUCUCUGGAUUUACAUAUCAACAGGGGAGAGCUAAGGAACUGAGUCACUACAAUUCAGUAGCCAAGGCAACCCAGUGGGAGUCCAGAGGAGCCUAAACAGACUCUGGGUAGAAGCCAGAGACUGGAAGCUAAACACCAUCAAUUCUGCACAGCUGUGCCGUGCGGUGUUACUUACCCCCUGAAUAAAUUAAAUAAAUAAAUAAAUAGAGAGAGAUUUACCACGCAUAACCUGAGGGUGUCACCUUUGCACACCCUUAACCAGGAAGAACCAAGCAGAGCUCUCAGGCCGCACCCAUCUCAAGCCUCUAAGGCUCCUCCAACAGCAGGCAGUCCACUUAACACGGACAUAGUAUAAAAUAAAAAAAAAAAAAAAAAAAAAAAACAACGCACAGUGACGAAAGAAGAAUUAACUAUGCCAAGUAACAAACACAGAAAUCGAGGGAACAAGAUCAACGAUGACACUAUGAUGCCUCCAAAUAAACAAAACACCCCAAACCAAGAUUAUGAAGAUGAUGAGAUAGAAGAAAUGCAAGAUACGGAUUUCAAAAAAUUUAUGAUAAGAACAUUUAGAAGUUUUCAAAAGCAAAUCCUUGAACUACAGAAAUCCUUAUUGGACAAGAUUGAAAAUCUCUCUCGUGAAAAUGAAAUUUUAAGGAAGAAUCAAAAUGAAACUCAGAAACUAGUAGAACAGGAAAGUGUGAUAGUGAAAUCAAAAUGAAAUGAAGAGCUCAAUAGAUCAAAUGACAAACACAUUAGAGAGCCUUAAAAACAGAAUGGGUGAAGCAGAAGAGAGAAUAUCGGACUUAGAAGAUAGAGCACAGGAAAACAUAGAGUCAAACCAAAGAAAAGAAGAGGAAAUUAGAAAUCUAAAAAAUAUUAUUGGGAAUCUACAGGAUACUAUUAAAAAAACCAACAUUCGAGUUCUAGGAGUUCCUGAAGGCAUGGAGAGAGAGAAAGGAUUAGAAGGCCUUUUUAGUGAGAUACUAGCAGAGAACUUUCCAGGUUUGGACAAGGACAGAGACAUCCUAGUACAGGAAGCUCAUAGAACCCCCAAUAAACAUAACCAAAAGAGAUCCUCACCACGACACGUGGUAAUUAAACUUACCACAGUGAAACAUAAAGAAAAGAUCCUAAAAUGUGCAAGAGAGAAACGUCAGAUUACUCUCAGAGGAUCUCCAAUCAGACUCACAGCAGACUUCUCAUCAGAAACACUACAGGCUAGGAGGGAAUGGCGAGACAUAGCACAGGUGCUAAGAGAGAAAAACUGCCAGCCCAGAAUAUUAUAUCCUGCCAAGCUCUCAUUUGUGAAUGAAGGUGAAAUAAAGACCUUUCAUAGCAAACAGAAAUUGAAAGACUUUGUGGCCACUCGUCCAGCCCUGCAAAAAAUACUUAAAGAUGUGCUACACUCAGAAACACAGAAACACGGCCAUCAAUAUGAAAGAAGGGAAAGGAAGAACACCUACCAGUAAAAGAGCAUGAUAAGCUCAAAGCAUAUACUAGAAAAUAUUUCCGGGAAAAUGGCAGGGCAAAGUCACUACGUAUCAAUAGUCACAUUGAACAUUAAUGGUCUGAAUUCUGCAGUUAAAAGACACCGUUUGGCUGACUGGCUCAAAGAACACAACCCAACUAUUUGUUGCCUACAAGAAACACAUCUCUCUAGCAAAGAGGCAUGCAGACUGAAAGUGAAAGGUUGGAAAAAGAUAUUCCAUGCCAACAGAAACCAAAAAAAAGCAGGUGUAUACAUAUUAAUAUCAGACAAAAUAAACUUUAAUACAAAAACUGUUAAGAGAGACAAAGAGGGACACUAUAUAAUGAUUAAGGGUUCAAUUCAACAGGAAGAUGUAACUAUUAUAAAUGUAUAUGCACCUAAUUACAGGGCACCGGUCUAUUUAAAAGAUAUGUUAAGGGACUUAAAGGGAGAUUUAGAUUCCAAUACAAUAGUACUGGGGGACUUCAAUACUCCACUCUCAGAAAUAGACAGAUCAUCCGGACAGAAGAUCAACAAGGAAACAGCAGAUUUAAUUGACACUAUUGCCCAAAUGGAUCUAACAGAUAUCUACAGAACUUUCAACCCUACAUCUACAGACUUCACAUUCUUCUCAGCAGUGCAUGGAACCUUCUCUAGGAUUGAUCACAUACUAGGCCAUAAAGCAAGUCUCAGCAAAUUUAAAAGAAUUAGAAUCAUACCAUGCAGCUUCUCAGACCACAGCGGAAUGAAGCUGGAAAUUAGCAACUCAGGAAACCCCAGAAAGUAUGCAAACACAUGGAGACUGAAAACAUGCUCCUGAAUGAACACUGGGUCAUUCAAGAAUCAAAAGAGAAAUCAAAAACUUUCUGGAAGUAAAUGAAGACAACAACACAACAUAUCAAAACUUAUGGGAUACAGCAAAAGCAGUAUUGAGAGGCAAAUUUAUAGCAAUAGGUGCCUAUAUCAAGAAAUUGGAAAGGUACCAAAUAAAUGAGCUUUCAGUGCAUCUCAAGGACCUAGAAAAACUGCAGCAAACCAAACCCAAAUCUAGUAGAAGAAGAGAAAUAAUUAAAACCAGAGAAGAAAUUAACAGGAUUGAAUCCAAAAAAACACUACAAAAAAUCAGCCAAGCGAGAAGCUGGUUUUUUGAAAAAAUAAACAAAAUUGACACCCCAUUGGCCCAACUAACUAAAAAAAGAAAAGACCCAAACCAAUAAAAUCAGAGAUGAAAAAGGAAACGUAACAACAGACACCAUAGAAAUAAAAAGAAUCAUCAGAAAUUACUACAAGAACCUGUAUGCCAGCAAACAGGAAAAUCUAUCAGAAAUGGAUAGAUUCCUGGACACAUGCAAUCUACCAAAAUUGAACCAUGAAGACAUAGAAAACCUAAAUAGACCCAUAACUGAAACAGAAAUUGAAACAGUAAUAAAGGCCCUCCCAACAAAGGAAAGCCCAGGACCAGAUGGAUUCACUGCUGAAUUCUGCCAGACAUUUAAAGAAUAACUAAUCCCAUUUCUUCUCAAACUAUUCAGAACAAUCGAAAAAGAGGGAAUCCUCCCAAAUUCUUUCUAUGAAGCCAGCAUCACCUUAAUCCCUAAGCCAGAGAAAGAUGCAACACUGAAAGAAAAUUACAGACCAAUAUCCCUGAUGAACAUAGACGCAAAAAUCCUCAAUAAAAUUCUGGCCAAUAGAGUACAACAACACAUCAGGAAAAUCAUCCACCCAGACCAAGUGGGAUUCAUCCCUGGUAUGCAGGGAUGGUUCAACAUUCGCAAAUCAAUCAAUGUGAUUCACCACAUUAACAGACUGCAAAAGAAAAACCAUAUGAUUAUCUCAAUUGAUGCAGAGAAAGCAUUUGAUAAAAUUCAACACCCUUUCAUGAUGAAAACUCUAAGCAAAUUGGGAAUAGAAGGAACAUUCCUCAAUAUAAUCAAAGCAAUUAAUAAAAAACCCACAGCCAGCAUCCUAUUGAAUGGGGAAAAGUUGGAAGCAUUUCCACUGAAAUCUGGCACCAGACAGGGAUGCCCACUCUCACCACUGCUAUUUAACAUAGUUCUGAAAGUUUUAGCCAGAGCCAUCAGACAAGAAAAAGAAAUCAAAGGAAUACAAAUUGAGAAGGAAGAAGUCAAACUAUCCCUCUUUGCAGACGAUAUGAUUCUUUACUUAGAGGAUCCAAAGAACUCUACUAAGAGACUAUUGGAACUCAUAGAGGAGUUUGGCAAAGUGGCAGGAUAUAAAAUCAAUGCAUAAAAAUCAACAGCCUUUGUAUACACAAGCAAUUCCAUGACUGAGAAAGAACUGCUAAGAUCAAUCCCAUUCACAAUAGCUACAAAAACAAUCAAAUACCUUGGAAUAAACUUAACCAAGGACGUUAAAGAUCUCUACGAUGAGAAUUACAAAAUCUUAAAGAAAGAAAUAGAAGAGGAUACAAAAAAUGGAAAAAUCUUCCAUGCUCAUGGAUUGGAAGAAUCAACAUCAUCAAAAUGUCCAUUCUCCCAAAAGCAAUUUAUAGAUUCAAUGCAAUCCCAAUCAAGAUACCAAAGACAUUCUUCUCAGAUCUAGAAAAAAUGAUGCUGAAAUUCAUAUGGAGGCACAAGAGACCUCGAAUAGCUAAAGCAAUCUUGUACAACAAAAACAAAGCCAGAGGCAUCACAAUACCAGAUUUCAGGACAUACUACAGGGCAGUUGUAAUCAAAACAGAAUGGUACUGGUACAGAAACCGAUGGAUAGACCAAUGGAACAGAUUGAAACACCAGAAAUCAACCCAAACAUCUACAGCCAACUUAUAUUUGAUCAAGGAUCUAAAACCAAUUCCUGAAGCAAGGACAGUCUAUUCAAUAAAUGGUGCUGGGAAAACUGGAUUUCCACAUGCAGAAGCAUGAAGCAAGACCCCUACCUUACACCUUACACAAAAAUCCACUCAACGUGGAUUAAAGACCUAAAUCUACAUCCUGACACCAUUAAGUUAUUAGAGAACAUUGGAGAAACCCUUCAAGAUAUUGGCACAGGCAAAGAAUUUCUGGAAAAGACCCAGGAGGCACAGGCAGUCAAAGCCAAAAUCAACUAUUGGGAUUGCAUCAAAUUGAGAAGUUUCUGUACUGCAAAAGAAACAGGAGAGUGAAGAGACAACCAACAGAAUGGGAAAAAAUAUUUGCAAACUAUGCAACAGAUAAAGGGUUAAUAACCAGAAUCUACAAAGAGAUCAAGAAACUCCACAACAACAAAACCAACAACCCACUUAAGAGAUGGGCCAAGGACCUCAAUAGACAUUUUUCAAAAGAGGAAAUCCAAAUGGCCAACAGACACAUGAAAAAAUGUUCAAGGUUGCUAGCAAUCAGGGAAAUGCAAAUCAAAACCACAAUGAGGUUUCACCUCACCCCGGUAAGAAUGGCUCACAUACAGAAAUCUACCAACAACAGAUGCUGGCAAGGAUGUGGGGAAAAAGGGACACUAACCCACUGUUGGUGGGAAUGCAAACUGGUCAAGCCACUAUGGAAGUCAGUCUGGAGAUUCCUCAGAAACCUGAAGAUAACCCUACUGUUCGACCCAGCAAUCCCACUCCUUGGAAUUUACCCAAAGGAGUUUAAACUGGCAAACAAAAAAGCGGUCUGCACCCUAAUGUUUAUUGCAGCACAAUUCACAAUAGCCAAGACCUGGAACCAACCUAAAUGCCCAUCACCGGUAGACUGGAUAAAGAAAUUAUGGGAUAUGUAUUCUUUAGAAUACUAUACCACAGUAAGAAACAACGAAAUCCAGUCAUUUGCAACAAAAUGGAGGAAUCUGGAACACAUCAUGCUGAGUGAAAUAAGCCAGUCCCAAAGGGACAAAUAUCAUAUGUUCUCCCUGAUCGGUGACAACUGACUGAACACCAAAAAGGACACCUGUUGAAGUGAAAUGGACACUAAGAGAAAUGGUGACUUGAUCAGCAUAGCCCUGACUGUUAAUGAACAACUUAAUACAUUAUCCCUCUUAGUAGUUUUUUUUGUCUGUUCUACUUAAUAUGACUGGUUGAAUUCUGUAAUUAUCACACAGUUAUUCUUAAGUGUUGAAAAUUAACUGAAAUGUGAUCCCCGUUAAACAUAAGAGUGGGAAUAAGAGAGGGAAGAGAUGUAUAAUUUGGGACAUGCUCAAGCUGACUUGCCCCAAAUGGUAGAGUUAGAAACAUACCAGGGGAUUCCAAUUCAAUCCCAUCAAGGUGGCAUGUACCAAUGCCAGCUCACUAGUCCAAGUGAUCAAUUUCAGUUCACAAUUGAUCAUAAUGAAAGGACUAAGAGUCAAAGGGAGCACAUAAACAAGUCUAGUACCUGCUAACACUAACCGAUAGAAUAAAUAAAGGGGAGAGUGAUCCAACAUGGGAAGUGAGAUACUCAGCAGACUCAUAGAAUGGCAGAUGUCCUAAAUAGCACUCUGGCCUCAGAAUCAGCCCUAAAGGCAUUUGGAUCUGGCUGAAAAGCCCAUGAGAGUAUUUCAGGCAUGGAAAGCCAAGACACUCUGGCAAAAAGAUCUCUGUGAGUGAGAUCCCAGUGGAAAGAACAGGUCUUCAAAGAAGGAGGUACCUUUCUCUGAAGGGAGGAGAGAACCUCCACUUUGACUAUGACCUUGUCUAAACAAGAUAAGAGUCGGAGAACUCAGAGGGCUUCCAUAGCCUUGGAAACUCAUGACUGGAGCAUAGGGAGAUUACUGAUGCCAUAGACAGGAGUGUCAAUUGGUAAAGUCAACAACAGGAGUCACUGUGCACUUACUCCUCAUGUAGGAUCUCUGUCCUUAAUGUGCUGUGUAUUGAGAUUUAAUGCUAUAACGAGUACUCAAACAAUAUAUUUCACUUUGUGUUUCUGUGGGGGUGCAAACUGUUGAAAUUUUUACUUAAUGCAUACUAAACUGAUCUUCUGUAAAAAAAAAAAAAAUUAUCAACUCCCAACUUGACUCUCACUGGGAUUAAACAUGACAAUAGGCCUGAUCUGAUUUCAUCAUCAUUUUUAAAAAAUCAUCUAUUAUUUUUCACUUUAUGUUUCUGUGUGGGAGCAAACCAUUGAAAUCCUUACUUAAUGUAUACUAAGCUGAUCUUCUGUAUAUUAAGAUAAUCGAAAAUGAAUCUUGAUGUGAAUGGAAGGGGAGAGGGAGUGGGAAAGGGGAGG